CAUUGGAGACGCCGUCCCAAUAUUUUUUAGUGUUAAGACACUUAACCGAUAGCAAAUAUUAACUCUGCCCAUUUUCAUAAUAAGUAUGUACCUGAAGGAGUUGAGUUUUAAUCGUUUAAACCUGACACUGUUUUAUUACAAUCCAUUCAAUUGAAUGCCUGCGCCUUCAAAUACCGAAGAUAUCAAUAGAAAUCAUCAGACCAUUCAGGUUUAUUUCAAUAGAUUGUGUAUUGGUAUAUUUUGAAUUGAAGCAUAGGGUAUUAUACUUGAAGUAUUGAUUUAAAUGAUUUGUUAAUAAUGUGGAGACGCGUGAAUCACUGCUAUUUAUUCAGGCAUUAAUUUGUUUGUUGUAUUAUUGAAUCAACUCUCAAGUUAAGGAAGCUAUCUGUAGAAGUUUAAACACAGUGUUGGCAGGGAAACUAGUGGAAGGCCUUAUUUGUGUCAAAAGAUCGUCGAAAAACAAGGGGUAUCAGAAACUUCAAUCAAUCAUUAAGCACUGUAUGGAUGGCUGAAAGUGGCACAAGACCUGAUGAACCGGAAAGAUUUCGAAGACAGGGCAAUGUGUCCAGCAAAGGAGACCUGGUUAGAUGAUUAGUCGAGUGCAGUUUGUGCCCACCAUAACAAUGACAAUUAGCGCAUAGUUUUUCCGUUUAGAUGUCUGCGUUUCCCCUACCCCUAUUAUAUUUCUUAAUGGCAUUUCAAUCUAGUUGGUUAAUGUUUACAUAACUAAAGGCGGAUAUACGUUAAAAUCUUUAGAAAAAAGAACAACGGUAAAUUUAUACUGUUUAUCAAUAAUUGGUCCCAAAUUAAAUACUUAACUUCUGUAAAGAAAUGUGAAACAUUAAAAAUGAAUACAUUCGUUCUCAUGAAUCUCCUAAAACCCACUUAUCAGUGUCUGCACGUGCCAAAGUACGACACUACUUUUUGGCAAAUGUUUUUCACAGUUUUCUUUCAAAUUAGUAAAUAACUAUUUAAACAUCAAGAUAUUGUAUUUACAAACAUAACCAUAAAAUUUAUAUAAGUUCGUUAAAUUAUGCAGCUUAAACCAUAGCAAUGAUGUUUAUUAU